rnacentral:lncRNA from 1 species
AUAAUUUAAUAAAGAGGGGAUAGCACCCUGCUACCUCCUAUUCACAUCAAAAGUAAAAAUAGACAUAAAAAGGAGGGCUUUCAAGCAGGCUGAGGAAUCUACUUUUCAGUAAUAAACCCCCUUGGCUUUUUUAUUAUUUCUUCAAUUUCAUGCACACACAUGAUCUUCCUUAGGAUGCCAUUUAUUCAGUCAGUCAUCUCAACAGCCACAGGAAAAUAUUAAAUGGCAAUUUUAAGAAACUUCUUUGACAAUUGGGAUAAUGGAGCCCAGGCUUUGCCAUCCCGAAUCUGUCAGUGUGUCAGACC